rnacentral:tRNA from 1 species
GGGGGUAUAGCUCAAGUGGUAGAGUGCAUGCUUAGCAUGCAUGAGGUCCUGGGUUCAAUCCCCGGUACCGCCA